GGUGGUCGGAGCUACCAUGCAGUCGAGCGGAUGAGGGAGCUUGCUCUCUGAUUCAGCGGCGGAGGGGUGAGUAAUGCCUAGGAAUCUGCCUGAUAGGGGGGGACAACGUUUCGAAAGGAACGCUAAUACCGCAUACGUCCUACGGGAGAAAGCAGGGGACCUUCGGGCCUUGCGCUAUCAGAUGAGCCUAGGUCGGAUUAGCUAGUUGGUGAGGUAACGGCUCACCAAGGCGACGAUCCGUAACUGGUCUGAGAGGAUGAUCAGUCACACUGGAACUGAGACACGGUCCAGACUCCUACGGGAGGCAGCAGUGGGGAAUAUUGGACAAUGGGCGAAAGCCUGAUCCAGCCAUGCCGCGUGUGUGAAGAAGGUCUUCGGAUUGUAAAGCACUUUAAGUUGGGAGGAAGGGCAUUAACCUAAUACGUUAGUGUUUUGACGUUACCGACAUUAUAAGCGCCGGCUAACUUCGUGGCGAACAGCCGUCGGUAAUACGAAGGGUGCAAGCGUUAAUCGGAAUUACUGGGCGUAAAGCGCGCGUAGGUGGUUUG
rnacentral:rRNA from 1 species